ACUUCUAUCGAUGGCUGUGAUUGGUCGUCCCAUCUUGGCGUCCUCUCAUUUCGACCAAUCAGACACGUCGUUGUGUGAGCGAGUGCGUUGAUUUGUGCCGCAGUGCAUCAGUCCUCUCUGAAGCUUCGUCCGUCUUGCACGUGUCUGCAACAGUAUUGAAGUUGCGAAGCACUUUGAAACUUCUAUCGAUGGCUGUGAUUGGUCGUCCCAUCUUGGCGUCCUCUCAUUUCGACCAAUCAGACACGUCGUUGUGUGAGCGAGUGCGUUGAUUUGUGGCGCAAUGCAUCAGUCCUCUCUGAAGCUUCGUCCGUCUUUCACGUGUCUGCAACAGAUAUUUGAUGAAUAUUGAAAGGACGCCGUGACAUCUGAUAUGGG